AUGGCCCAGAUGCUGCUGCACGGGGUGGUUGACGCCAAGAUCCUGGAGGCCGACCUGUCCGUCACCUCCGACGGCCAGCUCCGACCCACCCGCAAGACCGUUAUGAAGAAGAGAGUCUUCUCAUGGAUCAAGAAGUUGUCAUUCUGCAACAACACUCAGAGAAACGCGCGCUUGCAGCAGCUGGAGAACGCCAUCGGGCUCGGCGGCACGGCGGGCAAGCUGUACGCGACGGUGGACAUCGACAAGGCGCGCGUCGGCCGGACGCGCAUGGUGAGCCCGACCAACGCGCCCAGGUGGGACGAGUCGUUCCACGUCUACUGCGCCCACGACGCCAGCCACAUCAUCUUCACCGUCAAGGCCGACAACACCGUCGGCGCCACGCUCAUCGGCCGCGCCUACCUCCCCACCGGCGGCGACGUGCUCGCGGGCCAGCGGGUCGACCAGUGGCUCCCCAUCUGCGACGACAAGCGCCGCCCGCUCGACGGCGGGGACAGGAUCCACGUCCAGCUCCGCUUCACCGACGUCGCCGACGACCCGGCGGCCCGCUGGGGCGCCGGCGUCGGCUCCGCGGCCUACCCGGGCGUGCCGCGCACCUUCUUCGGCCAGCGCCGCGGCUGCCGCGUCAGGCUCUACCAGGACGCCCACAUCUCCGACGGCUUCGCGCAGCGGGUCCAGGUCACGCUCGCCGGAGGGAAGCCGUACCAGCCGCGCCGGUGCUGGGAGGACGUGUUCGAGGCGAUCACCAACGCCCGGAGGAUGGUCUACAUCGCCGGGUGGUCCGUCAACACCGGCGUCGCGCUGGUGCGCGACCCGCGUAAGCCGUCUUCGGGAACGCUCGGCGAGCUGCUCAAGAGGAAGGCGGCCGAAGGCGUCAGGGUGCUGAUGCUGGUGUGGGACGACCGGACGUCGCUGGGCCUCGGCCCGAUCCGGCGCGACGGUCUCAUGGCCACGCACGACGAGGACACGGCCACCUACUUCCGUGGCACGGGCGUGCGCUGCAUCCUGUGCCCGCGGAACCCCGACCAGGGCAGGAGCUACGUGCAGGACGUGGAGACGGCGGCCAUGUUCACCCACCACCAGAAGACGGUGAUCGUCGACAGCAGCCGCAACGCCGCAGCCAACGCGUCGCCGGGCCUCGUCAGCUUCCUCGGCGGCAUCGACCUCUGCGACGGGCGGUACGACACGCAGGAGCACCCUCUGUUCCGGACGCUCGGCACCACGCACCGCGACGACUUCCACCAGCCCAACUUCCCCGGGGCGUCCAUCAGCAAGGGCGGGCCGAGGGAGCCGUGGCACGACAUCCACUGCCGCGUCGAGGGACCGGCGGCGUGGGACGUGCUCGACAACUUCGAGCAGCGCUGGCGCAAGCAGGGCGACGGCGACAACCACCUCGUCACCCUCGACCGGGGCUGGGCGGCGCGCGAGGCGGUCCAGGACGCCGACUCGUGGAACGUCCAGGUGUUCCGGUCCAUCGACGGCGGCGCGGCGGCGGGGUUCCCGGAGAAGCCCGAGGAGGCGGCGCUGAUCGGCCUCGAGACGGGCAAGGACCACGUCAUCGAGCGCAGCAUCCAGGACGCCUACAUCCACGCCAUCCGCCGCGCCCGCGACUUCGUCUACAUCGAGAACCAGUACUUCCUGGGGAGCUCCUACGCGUGGCGCCGCGACGACGGCGUCACCGUGGAGGACAUCAACGCGCUGCACCUCAUCCCCAAGGAGCUGUCGCUCAAGAUCGUCAGCAAGAUCGAGGCCGGCGAGCGCUUCGCCGUCUACGUGGUGGUGCCCAUGUGGCCCGAGGGCGUGCCGGAGAGCGGCUCCGUGCAGGCCAUCCUCGACUGGCAGCGCCGGACCAUGGAGAUGAUGUACAAGGACGUGGCGCUCGCCAUCCAGUCCAAGGGCAUCCAGGCCAGCCCCACCGACUACCUCACCUUCUUCUGCCUCGGCAACCGGGAGGCGCCCAGCCCCGGCGAGUACGUGCCGCCGGAGAGGCCCGACCCCGACACCGACUACGACAGGGCGCAGCAGGCCAGGCGUUUCAUGAUCUACGUCCAUGCCAAGACCAUGAUAGUGGACGAUGAGUAUGUCAUCGUGGGAUCGGCCAACAUCAACCAACGCUCCAUGGACGGCGGCCGGGACUCGGAGAUCGCCAUGGGCGCGUACCAGCCGGGCUACCUCGCGUCCACCAACCGGCCGGCGAGGGGGCAGGUGCACGGCCUACGACUUGCCCUGUGGCAGGAGCACCUGGGCCAGGCCGCGGCAACCGUCGACCUCCUCCAGCCAUCGAGCCUGGCGUGCGUGCGCAGGGUGAACGAGGUGGCGCAGCAGCACUGGGACAUGUUCGCGAGCGAUGCGCCGCCCCAGGGAGACCUGCCGGGCCACCUCCUGGCUUAUCCCAUCGGCGUGAGCGAAGGCGGAGAGCUGCUGGAGACGACGGCAUUCUUCCCCGACACCAAGGCCAGGGUGCUCGGCAACAAGUCCACCUACCUCCCCCCGAUCCUCACAACGUGA
rnacentral:rRNA from 1 species